rnacentral:rRNA from 1 species
GACGAACGCUGGCGGCGUGCCUAACACAUGCAAGUCGAACGGGGCCCGCAAGGGUUCAGUGGCGAACGGGUGCGUAACACGUGAAGAAUUUGUCCAACGGCGGGGGAUAGCCGGCCCAACGGCCGGGUAAUACCGCGUACGACCCGUCGGGGGGCAUCCCCUGAAGGUGAAAGCCGCAAGGCGCCGAUGGAGAACUUCGCGGCCUAUCAGCUAGUUGGUGAGGUCAUGGCUCACCAAGGCGACGACGGGAGCUGGUCCGAGAGGAUGACCAGCCACAUUGGGACUGAGACACGGCCCAGACUCCUACGGGAGGCAGCAGUGGGGAAUCUUGCGCAAUGGGCGAAAGCCUGACGCAGCGACGCCGCGUGA